rnacentral:rRNA from 1 species
CGGGACGGGUGAGUAACACGUAUCCAACCUGCCGUCUACUCUUGGACAGCCUUCUGAAAGGAAGAUUAAUACAAGAUGGCAUCAUGAGUCCGCAUGUUCACAUGAUUAAAGGUAUUCCGGUAGACGAUGGGGAUGCGUUCCAUUAGAUAGUAGGCGGGGUAACGGCCCACCUAGUCUUCGAUGGAUAGGGGUUCUGAGAGGAAGGUCCCCCACAUUGGAACUGAGACACGGUCCAA